GAUAUUUCAUCCACCCUUGUCCCAAGUAUGCAUACUUAUAGACAACUUGAAAUGUCAGAUCCUUCAGAACUACGAAUAUAUGAUCGAUUACUACAGAACAAAAAAAUGAACCAAGUAAAGUCAAUUGUCUUUUGGUAAAAAAUAUACGAGAACUACAGAACUCAUUGCAUGUACACUUUCGUGAGUAAAGUCAAUCAACCUGGUAAUCAGCAGACAACUUACUAAUUAUUUACACAUCUUGAUACAAUAGAAUGCAAGCACCUGAUUCGUAAAAUAAGGAUGUAGAACCUCUAGAAGGGAGAGCAGGAUACUCCAAUUGGCUGAAUGUGGGAGGAAUAUAACAUUUCGAAAUGCACCUGAGUUCUUGGGGCAUCGUUCAUUUGAUUUGUACUCACUUGAGGGUUCCGGCGUAUAUAUAGACAUAUGUAUGGACACACCAACGAAGUAUUGUGUUCUCACUUGAAUUUUGGUUGCUCCAAACACUUCUAAAGAAUCAACUACCCUGAAUCAUAUAUGAAAUCAAUAAGUACACGUGACACAAAGUAUCUGACAUAAUAGUUUUUUAGUUACAGAAGUAAGAAAUUCAGCCUGCAUCUUAAAUACAAAAAUGAUAUCUGAAUUAUCGUCCUAAGUGUCACUCUCAGCUAUCAAUACAAACAGAUUGAAAAAAGAUACAGAGAUAAUAUGGCACAGUAGACGCCUUUGGUACAAGUUACUAAUCUAUUUCUUCAUUUCUUUUGCGGUGGUGACGCUAGUUCUAGGUGUGACCUAUACAACUGAUGUGUCAAUAUGGCACCAACAAAACAUGCUGAGACUCAUGCACAGUUCAAAUUUAAACAUUGCUUCUAUCUAACCCAGAUAUCAAUGACCACACCUAUUUUUGUAGGAAGGCUACUUCUUUAGCAUGUGAUAGACCUUUUGAUAAAAGUUCCCUAAUAACUGCUUCCCAAAUACGCUGGCCUCUGAAGAAGAAAGUGGUGCCUUCCUGCAUUGAUCACAGAGGAUCAUCACUCAGGAUAUCAGAUAUCUGCUAAGGAACUGAACUGUAUGAAGUAGGAAUUGACAAGCAAGUUACAGAAGGUUCCGCCAACCUGAAAUUCAUCUCCGACGUUUCCAGAAAAUGACACACCAUCACAGUAUCUUCACUUUAAUUAUAAAAAUCUGCAGGUCCAAAUGACUAUUUCUCAGCAGAUGUCAAAGUGUAGUGCCUAUAUCACUACAGACUGAAUCAAAAAGAUCGCUCACACAUAAAAAGGGAUUCCUAAAAUCCACCCAGAACAGCAAGAUAUUAUUCCAUCUCAAACAAAAUUGAACAAUAGGUCUAUAGCUCAUUAUUACAACAAACUCGACUGCCAUACAAAAUAACAGGCUACAACAAAUUUUGUGACAGAAGCUAGAAAGUAGAAAUCUUACAUCUUUUUCAAAGAUCUGGCGGUUGUUGGCUUGGAGCUCCUGAACCUGCUUUUCGCAUACAGUGCAGGUCAAAUCUCAGCCUCUUGUCAUAGUCACAGUAUGAUCUCCCCUGAAAUCCUCCUCACGGGCCACCAUCUCCAAACCUUCAUGGGCCAAAGAAGAAGAUAAUAAAACAUGCCAAACAGAUUGACAAAAGUGUCGUAAUAAGCAUAUAUUUUUAAUGACCGCUGCUAGGCGGCAUCCGGAUGUAGGGAAAGCAAGAAACAUCCGCCUCCUGAACCAUCGAUCUGGACUUCUCUCGCUGUACGAUGGAGGUCAACG
rnacentral:lncRNA from 1 species